GACUACAUGAAGCUGGAAUCGCUAGUAAUCGCGAAUCAGAAUGUCGCGGUGAAUACGUUCCCGGGUCUUGUACACACCGCCCGUCACACCAUGGGAGUCGGAAAUGCCCGAAGUCAGUGACCCAACCACAACGUGAACUUCGUUCGCGUGGAGGGAGCUGCCGAAGGUGGAGCCGGUAACUGGGGUGAAGUCGUAACAAGGUAAC
rnacentral:rRNA from 1 species